AUGCGGUGCGACGGCGAUGAGCGGCUGAUGCUGGGCGUCUAUGUCGAUGACCUCAUCGUCACUGGGUCAAGCCUGGGGGCCAUUGUUCAGUUCAAACAGCAGAUGAAGUCUGUCUUCUCCAUGAGUGACCUCGGCUUGCUAAGCUACUAUCUCGGCAUCGAAGUGCGCCAGGGAGAUGAUGCGAGCACCCUCAAGCAGGCGAGCUAUGCAGCCAAGAUCGUGGACAAGGCAGGGCUGACAGACUGCAAUCCAGUGCACAUCCCGAUGGAGCCGCGCCUGAAACUGAGCAAGGAGAGCACGAACCUGCGGGUGGACAGAAAGCUCUACCGCAGCAUCAUGGGCAGCCUUCGUUACCUGGUGCAUUCGCGACCAGACAUCUCCUACGCGGUUGGUUCCAUCAGCAGAUUCAUGAAGGCGCCCACGACAGAGCACUGGGCGGCGGUGAAACAGCUGCUGAGGUAUGUUGCAGGCACCCUGAACUUUGGGUGCAGAUACAAGAGAGGAGAAGCAGAGCCGCGGCUGGUUGGGUACAGUGACGCGGACUUCGCCGGAGAUGUUGAUGACAGGAAGAGCACAUCCGGGACGGUGUUUGUUUUUGGGGGGAGCGUGAUCAGCUGGCAGUCCCAGAAGCAGAAGGUGGUCGCUCUCUCAUCCUGUGAAGCCGAGUACAUGGCGGCUACUGCAGCCGCGUGCACGGGCGUCUGGCUGUGGCGGAUGCUUGGCGAUCUGCUAGGUGAUCCGGGAGGCGCAACUCUGCUCCUCAUCGACAACAAGUCAGCAAUCCAACUCUGCAAGAACCCUGUCUUCCACGACAGAACGAAGCACAUCGAGAUGCGAUUUCACUUCAUCCGCGAGUGUGUGCAAGAUGGGAGGAUCGCCGUCGAUCACGUCCACACCGACGAGCAACUGGCUGACAUUCUGACCAAGGCACUACCUCGGGUGAAGUUCCAGGAGCUGCGAGAGAAGCUGGGCAUGAUCAACAUCAGCAACUGA
rnacentral:rRNA from 1 species